rnacentral:rRNA from 1 species
GAAACACGGACCAAGGAGUGCAACAUGCGUGCGAGUCUUUGGGUGGCAAACCCAGCGGCGCAAUGAAAGUGAAGGCAGGCAGUGGUCUGCUGAGGCGAGAGUCCUCUCGGGGACACAUCGUCAACCGAUCCCAGGUCACGCUGUGGCGGGAUUUGAGUGAGAGCGUGCCUGUUGCGACCCGAAAGAUGGUGAACUAUGCCUGAAUAGGGUGAAGCCAGAGGAAACUCUGGUGGAAGCUCGUAGCGAUUCUGACGUGCAAAUCGAUCGUCAAAUUUGGGUAUAGGGGCGAAAGACUAAUCGAACCAUCUAGUAGCUGGUUCCCUCCGAAGUUUCCCUCAGGAUAGCUGGAGCCCGGUGCAGUUUUAUCAGGUAAAGCGAAUGAUUAGAGGUCUUGGGGUUGAAACAACCUCAACCUAUUCUCAAACUUUAAAUGGGUAAGAAGCUUGGCUUGCUUAAUUGAAGUCAGGCAUGGAAUGCCGGGGCUCCUAGUGGGCCAUUUUUGGUAAGCAGAACUGGCGAUGUGGGAUGAACCAAAUGCUGGGUUAAGGUGCCCGAAUCAACGCUCAUCAGAUACCAUGAAAGGUGUUGGUUGAUCUAGACAGCAGGACGGUGGCCAUGGAAGUCGGAAUCCGCUAAGGAGUGUGUAACAACUCACCUGCCAA